UACGUAGGUGACCAGCGUUGUCCGGAUUUACUGGGCGUAAAGAGCGCGCAGGCGGUCGUUCAAGUCGAGUGUGAAAGCCCCCGGCUCAACUGGGGAGGGUCACUCGAUACUGAUCGACUUGAAGGCAGGAGAGGGAAGCGGAAUUCCCGGUGUAGUGGUGAAAUGCGUAGAGAUCGGGAGGAACACCAGAGGCGAAGGCGGCGACCUGGACAGUAACUGACACUCAACUACGAAAGCGUGGGGAGCAAACAGG
rnacentral:rRNA from 1 species